UCAACCAGCUUUCUAAAAACAUUCUCUCAUCCUCAAAACCAUCAAAUUCCAUUUUGAGAAUGAGGAAAUGUUUUUAGAAAGCUGGUUC
rnacentral:miRNA from 1 species